rnacentral:rRNA from 1 species
UACGUAGGGGGCUAGCGUUGUCCGGAUUUAUUGGGCGUAAAGAGCGUGUAGGCGGCCAGGUAGGUCUGCUGUGAAAACUCGAGGCUCAACCUCGAGACGUCGGCGGAAACCAUCUGGCUAGAGUCCGGAAGAGGAGAGUGGAAUUCCUGGUGUAGCGGUGAAAUGCGCAGAUAUCGAUAGGAACUCCGGUGGCGAAGGCGGCAUACUGGACCACCUCUGACGCUGAGGCGCGAAAGCCAGGGGAGCAAACGGG